GCAGAGCAGGGUCACUAUGCCCCCACGGAUGGGUGGACAUACGAGGGCAGUGGAAUGGAGCCGGAAGGUUGGCCUGAAGGAUUAUGGACACAUCCACAAUGAACUGCCCCAGACAGCCGAGGAGGACAGAUGCCUGGGUGUGGCUGCUGGUCUGGUUGGCCAUCUAGACACCUCAUGGAAUGAAUCUACCCUGGCGGGGCCAGCUGUGGACUACACGACUCACGGGGAUGCUGUGCCCAUGGACUGAGCUGGAUGGAGGCUCAGUUCCUGUCUCCUUCCUGGAGCUCCCGGUCUAGAAGAAGAUGAAACGGAC